rnacentral:lncRNA from 1 species
AGUUGCUAACAGCCAUAGCAGAAGUGGUCACAUGAUGGUCGUAUCAGAUUCUAACAAAUCUGCAAAUUCUGCU